GUUCGGGGUGGUGAUGGAAGCGUUGACCCCGGCGCCCUCCAGAGUCACGAUGGGAACUGCUGUGCCACGAUCGUUCACGUUGAAAUAAAGCUUGCGGCCGGGGUUAAGGGUGUUGACCUGAAAUGUGCGUGUGAGGGAGAAAAAGGGUACACCAAGUUUUCUAGAGAAGCAGCCACAUCAUGUAGAGAUAUCCCUUUUCCGAGGAACAAAAACAACCAUGACACGGCAACACUACGAGCGGAGUGAAUCCUGAAAAAUGCCAAGGCCACAUCACACUAAGCUCAGACUCAACAGUGCAGAGAGGCUGUGCAGUGCCAGUGAUGAAGUGAAGUGACUCUUUUGCAAGGCGGAGGAUGCAGCACACCAACAGAAUGACUCAUCACCGACUGGGAACAAAGCGCCUAAUAUUUCCACAGACCUAGUACAUAUAUGUAGACAGGUAACUCGAUUGACGCGAGUUUGGUUUACGCAUUUUUGAAAUAACGCGGGGUCGAAAAUCCAAAUAAAUGUUUAAUUUACACGUUUUUUCACUUAUACAUGAUAUUUUAUGGAGUGGUCACCAGAUGUCUCACGCAACUGGACUCACAUGGCGCUCUCUCUCUCUCUCUCUCUCUCUCUCUCCACUGAAUGAAGUGAAUAUUUAUUUUUCAAUAGAAACCUACCUUUUGUUUGAUUUACAUUGUUUUUGAUUUACGCGACCUCUUCAAGGACACAAUACUCGCGUAAAUCGAGAGUUACCUGUUCAUAUAUAUACAGUAAAACCCUUAUAACUCGACACUGCAUAACUCAAAAUUUGAUGUAACUCGGCAAGGCUGGAGCCCCUAUCAUGCUGAGUUGUAAGGGUUUUACUAUACCACCAAUAUACUGGCUCCCUUCCUUCCAAAGCUUUGCCAGGGUAACCAUUUUGCCAGACCGGUUGAGGUCACACAAUGAUUAUAGUAAUUCACUGACAUGCCGGCAGGGAAUGAGACCACCACACACAUCCCAACUUGAUGAUGACAAUUUCUCCCGGCACAUAACUGACUGCUAUGCUUUGAGACCACAUACACUUGGCUCUAGUCACCUAAACAGAUAAUGGGACUCAGAAAUGUAAGGUUAACCCAUCCACUGCGAUUGGUACAAGUUGGGCUUUCACUGGCAACCUGGAAACAUAUACUCCCAGGUCUUUUUCUGCCUCUGUGGUGGAUAGUGGAGUGUUUCCCAUGUGGUAUUGGUAUCCUGGAUAUCCCCUCCCCAUGUGCAUGACUUUACAUUCUUCUUCACUGAAUUGUAGCAGCCACUUUUUGAUCCAUUCCUGCAGUUCGGUGAGGUCUUCUUGUAGGAAAUCCACAUUCAAGGGGUUAAUUACACAACCUCCCUGAGCUCCUCACAUGGCCAUCUUCUUUGAUGCUGCCAGAACCAAAAAUACAUCUACCAGCACAUCACAGUGAGGAAAACAAAACCCAAGAGCAAUGAUUCAUGAGCGCCAACAGUGAAAUACUGCCGCUGUUGUCUGCCCAAGCCAAGUAUUCCUCGGGCACCUGGACUACGCUUCCCAGGGCUCUCUGGAGUGGCCGAAUUUUUCUCUCUCUCUCUUGGAGGUUGUCUGUCAGUCACACACGCUCCCACGCUGCAUGUUCUGUGAUGUUUGCCUCAACUAUACUCUAAUACAAGGGACAGUUAGGAUUGGCACAGUGAGACUCAACAGUUAUUGUGGAACUCGCAUGCAUUGGUCUAAAUUCUGUAAAAUAAGACAAGAUAAAGAAAUCAUGACAAACAGAAUUAAAAAAAUGACUGAAAUGCUUAUACCACAUCUUACAUGUCAGCAAGUUAUUGAAAUGGUCCUGAAAGAAAUUAUUUCACUGUGUAAAGAAAAGCCUCAUGAACACAAUAGUACUAGUGUAGUAGAAACAGUAGUAGUAGUAGUAGUAGUAGUAGUUAUAGUACAUAAUAGAGGUAGUAGUAGUUAUAGUGGUACAAGUAGUAGUAGUAGUAGUAGUAGUAGUAGUAGUAGUAGUAGUAGUAGUAUCACAACUCACCCUACGAGGAAUUGUAUUUAGUAACAAAACAACAUUACAGUUUCAUGUGCGAACUUCCCAUCAGCUUUUUAGAGUUUAUGUAACAAAUUCAAUGUUUUAUACAAAAUGUCUAGAUUUAAUUCAAUAACAGUCUUGGGAAAUCUCUUUAGCACCAACAGGCUGAUCAGUGAGAGGUUUUUCAGCAAGAUUUCCACCAGACUGUUACCAGUUAUACCCCCUGCCUGCAAGACAACAAGCAACAAGCAGUGUGUUAUGUGCGAAUCGUUACCGAGGCGAUGACGCGGUAAAGUCUAUGGGCACCGCCAGCCACGUUUACAUUACCCCCUCCCGUGAUGGGCCGUGCACACCCCCGGGGUCAGCAGCACACGCCACAGCUCUCACUCAUACACUUAGCUUCACUUCUGAGUCUCUCCCUCAAUGAUCAAAAAGAUGAUGCCUCCACCAUGUGACAUGAUUAAAGUACAUGUUUAUAUCUGGUUCUUUCCUUUGAUGCACCGUCCAAAGGUUCAUUCUGCAUCACUGUGUUAGCCAUGCGUUGGCAGGACGAGUAAUGAGCACAAUAAUCGUCAUAAUGAGCACUUUCUUCUUUCCCUCAUGGCCACUCACUCCUCCCUGCUUCCUCAGUGUACAUCUGACUACACCUUGAUCAUAUCAUGUGUUAGUUUUGUAUUAGCAGCAGAAUGAGUGGAAAUUUAAGAUACUGUCGUGCUUGAGACUUCUCUCUUCAAGGUGAAAUGGUUUAUUCUUGUAUUGAUUCAAUAACUUGCAUGUGGUAAUGUGAUGUGUAGAAAGUGAUAUAAACAUUUAAGAACUGUUCUUCCAAUUAUACUUGUCAUCAUUUAUUUAUUUUUGUCUUACCCAAUUUGGGCAGAUGUAAAAAAGUUUAACAAUCACUGCUGAGUCUGUGGGGCCAACCACAACCAUCUGUAUUGUGUAACGGGUGACCUAAAACAAUGAUGUGGAAACAUGCAGCAUUAGGACGCGUGUGAUUGACAGACCCCUCAAGGAGAGCGAGAGAAAUCAAGCUAAUCAGGAGAGGCCUUGCUGCUCUGGUGCAAGCGGAACACUUUGUCUGAACAGACUGUUGUACUAGAUGAAGCACCGCUACAGUUGACAGUCCUCGGCAAAAAUAUUACUAUAACAAGGAGUUCCAAACAUGACACUGACACUGCUAAGGUGAUGUGCUUGCUUCUGUUUUACCAUAACAGUUGGGAAUGUUGACCAAAGGUUUUGUAGGAAGGAUUAACUCUUCAGUGACAUCCUUGGCUAUCACACAUGUUGCCUACAAGAAUGGUACAUUUAUAGUUUUGUGUCAUUAUUUAUUAAAGUUGAACUUUUGCCAAAGGCUGCUGAUGAUUAAUCCAGAUUAUGUGCUGUACUUUCACUGUGGCUGUUCCUUUCUCAUCCUUGACCUUGGCACACACCUGGAGUACAAACAUCUCUGCUACACGUGACAGCAGCAGGGAACUUGAACAAACCAAUUGAUAAUCAUGAGUUUAAAUGGGAUUCUCAUGCUAUGAAAGGGAAGUAAAUGUGAAGGCAACAUCAAUUCAUAUGGAAUUAUCAUAAAGCAUUUCAUAACUGCUAAACCUUUUCUCCAUCUAAGGAACCUUCUUUACAUCACUGCUUCUUUAUAUGAUUAGCUAAACCAAGGAAGGAGAAAACACAGCCUUUACGUCCUGGACACAGUUGUUUGACAAUCGGGGAAAUAUUCCCAAACCUCCAAAUUCUAGAAUGUGCAAUGACUCACUAGUGACGCAGCCAGCCUUGAUGAAUAAACCCUGGCCAGGAAUACAGUUAUCACCUCAGAAACAAAAUUAAAUUCUAUAAGGUCAAUGCAUUGCCCAAUAAUAUUCAAAUAAUGUUUGACACAUAUUCUGCUUUCCUUUGUUGUGGUCAGCCAGACUCAACCUUUAAACACAUGGCCGGCAACUUCCCACUGUGCCUCAUGUGAAAUUCAGCGGAUGUUUUGCUGGACUCAUCAUGCAUGUUGGACAAGCACCAGGACGACAAGGCCUCAUGACUACCUUCAAGCAGCUGUUGGCACCCAUCCAGCCUGAUAAAUUGCCAUUGCCAUUGCCAUUUUCAUGUAAUUGUUAAGGAAAUGUUUCCAGGUAGCCUUUUAAGUAUUUUGGGUCCUUCUGGAAGUUUUUCCAUUUGGAUAAUUUUUCUUCCUUUGCUCUUCUUGAAAAAAAUCAUGAUCUGCCGCUGGUAGUGUUCAGCUCCUCCCCCGCCCCUCCCAGUGCGGGCCAUCCCCCAACAGGCCUUCCACAGCACUGCUUCUCUCCCUUCCCAUGCAGCGUGAGGAACCCAAGAUAUUUAAACCACUUCUUGGACCCUCAAAAUACCUUGCAACUGAUGACUGCCUUCCUAAACUUACAAAGAGGAAAACAUUGUAGCAUACAAAUGUUUUACUUUGUAGAGGUAAGCAGCAGGACCUACUAAACAGACCUUUCUGAUUGAAGAUGACAAAUAUGAACACAUUAAAUAAUAAUUGAAAUGGGUGUUAAGUUAGUCACACUUGUAAACACUCCCUCAGUCACAUAUCCAUUCUGUAUCUCACUCCAGGUUAGUUCAUGCACAGCCGUGGCCGGGCGUGUUCCCUGCACCGCUGCCGGCCAGCACUCACCAGGGCCACUCAGCCCUUGUUCGCACCAACCCACUGCCCCGUCGUGGCCACGGGUAUAAGUUAGGCUUGAGGACUGAUAAUUGUGAACUUAAUUCAUUUCCUUCUGAACUGGUGAUGUCUGUCCAGUCGAUGGGAAAGAAUGCACACACGUUGUAGUAGAGAGACUGACGGUUGAUGGGACUCAUGUUAGUGUCUGCCGUGACUCACAGAAUUUUUUGUCACCCUGCAAGGUGGUCAGAUGAAGUUUUGAUGAAAAUAAUUUUCUAAAACAACAAGAAAAGCAUAUGCAUGCUGGGCACUAUUAUCUCUCAAUGAUCACCUUCGGGUUACUUAUACUCCUGUCGAUACUUGCUUCUCUAAAAAAACUGUGAAAAGCCAUCGUAAUCAGGCAAUGCAUUGUACCCUUGCACCACUCAAAUACUAAUUAGUAAAAGCCACACACUCAAAUACUAAUUAAUAAAAGCCAUAAAGUAUACAAGCCACAGUUUCAGCCACACAACAACCAAGUGUGAGAUGACAUGAUGUGGUGUGAAGCCCUGGAGCCGAGACUCUGCGGCCCCGUGUGAACAGUGACAACUUCCUUCUGUACAGUGAGUGAGUGUGUCAGGCACCACAUCAUGUUGACUACUGUUUAGAUGGUCAUGCUAAACUUUGGAAUUCAUUUAUUUCUCACUUGGAAACUGAGAUACACUCCAUGUUCUCUACAGAAAGACUGUGUCAGCCACAUCUUACUGACUAAUAAAAGCCUGACAAGCAUGCGUUAUACAGCAGAUGUGAGGAGGUGCAAGAAGAAACAAAAUAUUUUGUCUUCAAGGGUAGGCACAUCCUUCCUUCUCAUACUCACCAAAAGUUUCAAGUUGGAAGCAGUGGGUAGAGAGGAAAAAAAAACAAAGAAAAAUAAGAUAAAUAAGAUGCUCAAUACCCAAUGAAAUGUAAAUAAAUGUAUAUUUUCUUUUGUAUUUUUGCUAAGGAGCGCAUUUUCGCAUAGCCAAUGGAACGUCUGUCCUUUUGAUAUGAUGUCUGCUUUCUAGAAGGGGAGCCGAGGUGUUCGGACUGAUUGGCACGCCGCGGCACAAAGGUGGGUAUGAGGCGUGGCGGGCAGCAAAGAUGCUCUCGUGCUUGGCAGUGAUCGGCCCAAAUAUGUUUGAAAUUUCAUGAAGGAUCUAUGAACACAAAAAAAUCUAUUCUACAGGUAACAAAAAGAAAAAGGCUAAAUCUUAGACUGCUUCUGGUAAACAUCAUAUCAAAGGACAUGAGCUAUACAAAAUUACGCUAUCUAUGCUGCAAUGCUUACAGUUCAUUGUAGUGCAAUAUUAAAAAAAACUCAUAAAUUUAAAAAAGUAACUGAGUGACAAAAACAAAAGAAUAAAAUAGAAUAAAUAAGAGGACAAACUGAAUAUAGAAGACAGGAAACUUAAAAAAAUAACAUAACACAGGAAAUACACAGAAAGACAGGGAGAAAAAAGAGAAAACAAGAAGAAGAAAAACGUCUGAUCGCAUAGUGAAUUAAUAUAUAGAUACACAGUUGAUUUAUAAACGUAAAAGCUUUGGUAGUAGUAAUGUAGAAAAUAAAACAUGAACAAGGAAAAAAGAGUCCUCCAAGAGCCCACUCCACUCCUUCCAAGAGGGUGACAUGCUAACUUUGAAAUGUGAUGUUGGUUGACAGAUGUGGAAACCAAGAGAGAGGAGAGUCACCUGCUGCGACACACUCAUGACUUGCCUGAGAGGUUUGCAGGGCUUUGUCAGAUAUAUCAACCAAGGAGGGGAGGUAAACAAGGAGGAGGAGGAACGAAGCUAAAUUUCUGUGAUGUGCCUUAGUUUGAAAAUGUCCGAGAACGGGAACGCAAGACAAAGACAUAAGAGGAAACAAAAGAACUGGGAGAGAGGGGGGGAAAUGACUGAUAUAAUACACAUCAUCACCACAAACAAAUCCAAAAAAUGAGUGUACGACAUUAACACAACAAACUGUAUAUAUAUAAAGUAACAAAGUCAAAACACCGAACCAAACUAUCUCGGGAGUAUUACUGUACACAUUCUGCUAACAAUGACGUACAAGGAACUCAAGCAUUCUAAACCAAUGAGUCUUUCUGUGUCAUGCGGAUAAAUAUAUAUGGUUGACGUGACUACUAAAAGGUUCUACAGUUUAAAAGGGUCUUACAAUGAGAAUAAUAAAUAGUAUCUUAUAUAAUACCAAAUAGAGGACAUAAUCUGUAAAGAGUACCACACAGACUAGGUCAAUCGUUUACUGUAACACCCGGCUCACAGGGGGCAGGAUCCUGGUAUCAGAAUUAGGGUUAGAUAGCAUUAUUUAAGUCUCUCAAGGAAAUUUAUGAGUUGGUGACAAUUUCUCUCAAAGGAUCCCAAUAUGGCUAUGAUUAAGUAUAUAUCUACAAUGCAUAUGAAUUAGAACACCCCACACCUAAAGUCUAAUUGCUUAAAACAGAUGAGGAAUAGGUUAGUUAUGUUUUGAGAGUAGUGAACUAAGGCCGUUACCAACAGUUGCCUCAUUGCCGCAGACUCCGUGCAAAGAAAUCUACACCUCGCUAGUCAUCCUCUCCCAACAUCUCAACAGCAAGUGCAAGUUAUGGUAUUUUCUGUUCUGAGGGGGAUGUCUGUGGCUCUACUCGGCUGACUAGAAAAUGUGGUAAGUAGUUCUUUAAAAUAUACUGUCUUGCAUUUCUCUGGGAUACAAAGAGUUACAUGUACUAAAGCUGCUAUCAUACUCACCUCUAUUUUUUUUGUCUAACUCUUUCAGGUGUUAAAGUGAAGUGGUAUUGUUGAUAUAGGACUUCAAUUAUUGGAAUAUUCAUGUGUGGGACUAAAAAUGUUUUAUUCUCUUGAUAAAAAAACAAUGUAUCUUCUCUUUUAACUACUGUGACUGUGUGUUCAUGAGUGUCCCGCACACAUGAUGCCACACACUCUGGAGCCCUGCAAGAGACACCUCAGCGAGUGUCUGUGUGUGAGAGGUUGAAGAGGAGAGCACGGACAGGUUAUUAAAGGGAAGACCACUUCAGUUUGCAGUGACGGUGUGUUGUUCGGCAUUAUCUUCCAGCCGGUCUUCAGCUCAAGUGUUUGCCUUGUUGUGGCCGCUGCCGCCACAAUGUUAGUGUUUGUUUUGUGCUUGAGGCUGAAGUUUGGUGUGGACUUUUGUGGCUAGCUCAGUGAUGUGUUUGUUUACUGAUAGUGUGUACUUGAGGCAGUUCAUUUUAAUACUAAAAUUUUUUGAAAAAAUAAUAUUCUAAUUCAUGUAUUUACCUAGUUGUAGUAGACAUGACCUGACCUACACUCAUGUGGUCCUGUCUCCAUAAAUCAAGUUUCUGUGUUCAGACGUGACAAGGCGGACACGAGCAGGACCUGAGACAGUUGAGUGUCCGGUGCUGGCGUAAAAAAUGGUACAUUUCUAUUUUUUAUGGUAACUCAGAUUUUACUCAACAAUAUAUUUACAUGCAUGGAAUGAGGCAAUGAUAACUUUGUCAGCAAAGACUCAAACUCCUGACUUUAUCUUGUUAACCGCCAUGUGCCAGCACAGGACACUUCUGGUGUGCCGAGGAUUUUUGUUUCCUCUUGAGCAUCAUAAAAGAUCCUGUAACUAUUUGUACGUGUCUCCGUCUUGCUGUGCACUGCUUGGUGUGUGUGUGUGUGUGUGUGUGUGUGUCAGUGGCUGCCGCCCCCCCCACGGCUCCUCCCUCAGCCGCCCAGCAGGCAGGCAAGCCGUGCCAGCGCCCCCUCAGCAGCUCUCUGAGUCUUGUUCCCAAGUUAAGCAACAGAAAAGUCAUCCCAUCAUGUGCAGACUGUAGCAAGCAUAACAAAUUGCAGUAGAAUAUGACUGAAUGGAGUGAAUAUUGGUCAUACUAAAUAUUCUUAAGGUGAAAUCUUGUUGCCACAAGUGGCUUGUUCUCACCCUCAUCAACAGUGGCUGAGACCAUGCAUGAACAUGUGCAAGUGUUCCACACCUCAACAAGGCAAAAGUGUCACAGACAGUCAGGUUCAGGCAUCACCACCGGGACGUUCUCAGUGAUCACAUCACACGUGACAGAGGAAGAGCAAGGCAUGGGCUGCACACCUCUGUGUGCGCUGCCGUCACAACACAAUUAUUACUCUCCAAAAGUUACAGCUUUAAUCUCUUUGUGACUUGUUUGCAUUUCACUGAAAACUAUCAAUAUUUUCCUUGUCAAGGUGUGAAACCAUUCGUGCAGAACUCAUAAAUGAGGAAUCCAAAAAUAUAAGUAGGAAAGUAAAUGUAUCAUUUACAGCUGAAAGCAAGUAUCCAUAACUGAAGACAAGUAAAACAAAAUACUGUGAGUAGCAGAAAAAGCAAUAAAUUUUUCAUGGACAGCAAUGCUGUCACUUGUUCUUUGAUGCUUUGAGAAGUAUUAAUGAAAAGUUCAGCAAAAUGUGGAAUUGUUCUACUUUGUUGUUGUUGUUUCAUGUGUCAGAAUGAGGAUCUCCAAAUGAUGAGUCUUCCAUCAACUCAGAAUGUUCAUCCUCUGAGAAGUGAUGAGUCCAAGUGUGUGUGUGUGUGGCUCCUUUCAUUAGUACAACCUCUCCGUGCUGCCGGGGCCUGAGGCACACACCCUUGGGGCACCCCGGCCUGGGGCAACACUGCCCCAGCAGCAGGUGUGUGCCCCGCCUGGCAGCCAGACAGCCGCUGCCCUCCACCCCAGGCAGCAGACAGGAAGAUUAACGGAAGACUUGUCCGGCCAAGAUGACCUGACCAGCACGAGUCUCAGUGCUCUAAGGGCAUGAUGCACUAUGCAUUUGGCAUAUGCAGACCAUACAUGCACAGAGAAUGGGAAACACACACAUGAUACAUGACUCUUCACGUCAGUGCAGCCAAUCCUUCAUCAUGAGUAAAACAGUCUGGCCAAAUGAACCCCAUGGCAACAUUCCUUCAGUGUCCAAUGUUAGUACCAAAUUCCUUGACUUAAUAUCACAAGAGGACUGCCCACACACCCUCACAAGAGUGCAAGACUUGCAGUGAGGCAGCUGUCGGGAGGCGAUGACUAGUGGAGGCGUGUGCUACUAGUGAUGCUGGUGGUGGCCUGCCAUGGCUAGGGUAAGGAAGCAAGACUCGGUGAAGUUGUUGAGGAAAACCUAACUAUCUGUGGAAGCUACAUGAAAACCUUUUGUGUCAAGUCAGGAAUUCAUUGUGCAGUGGACCAGCUCAAUCACUUUCACUCUGAAAAGUCAAUUGCAACUUAAUAAUUUGGUACAUUCAUGACAAACUCCUAGGGGACAAUGUGGUGACUCUACGCUGACUCUUCCCGAGCCUCUCAUGACUCUUCUACACAGCAGUGGUGCCUGACAUUCCAAGGCCACCCACGCCUACACUGCAGCGGCACACCCUCGUUGCAGGGCAAGGAGUGCCGGCCUGCAGGCAGCCCCGGGGGGUGGGGGAGGCGGCACAUCACCACGCAAGCAUGAGCACUACCCUCGUGAAGACAAAAUUCCAGGACUCUCCGAGGUGUCUUAGUCUCAGCUAAGCAAAAUUUAGUAAAGAAAAAGCAUCCAAUUUUUUUUUACUUUAACAUACACAUAAAAUGAACUGCAGUUGAAGGUUUGAUUAUGCUACUGUUUUUUGCUGUGCCUUAUGAUGAAUGACUAAUCAAAAUGUUGAGGAAAAAUAUAUUUGUAUGUAAAAGCUCUCUCUAGCAGUCUGUCAUGUUCAUCUGACAACAUGCAAUGUGCUCCUUCACACAAACACCUAUUUAUAGUAGUCCGUAGCCAAGCUGAACACCAAGGAUUAACCUUCUACUGAAGCUUUAGGAUGAGGCGAGGGACA